GUCAAUGGGCAGGGCUUGCGAUCUUCGCAUGUGUCUUAUCGUAAAGAAUUGUUAAAAUUUAGGAUAGGGAAAAAACUAUUUAAUGGAUGAAGCGAGAACAGCAGGAAGAAAAGGAGGGAAGGUAGUUUUCUAGUACAAGCAUAUUGAGAAGAAUGGAGGACAAAGUUUGCGAAGAGCCAGACUUUUAUAAAUCAGAGUACAGAAAAGAGCACCUCAGUGUGAAUAAUGUUACAGUGUGAAUCUUCCUUCUUCAACUGGUCCGGAGUU
rnacentral:lncRNA from 1 species